UACGGAGGGUGCAAGCGUUGUUCGGAAUUACUGGGCGUAAAGCGCGUGUAGGCGGUUGGGUAAGUCAGAUGUGAAAGCCUUCCGCUCAACGGAAGAAGUGCAUUUGAAACUACCUGGCUAGAGUACGGGAGAGGAGAGUGGAAUUCCCGGUGUAGAGGUGAAAUUCGUAGAUAUCGGGAGGAACACCAGUGGCGAAGGCGGCUCUCUGGUCCGAUACUGACGCUGAGACGCGAAAGCGUGGGGAGCAAACAGG
rnacentral:rRNA from 1 species